UUGGCCGGGCGACGGUUGUCCCGGUUUAAGCGUGUAGGCUGGUUUUCCAGGCAAAUCCGGAAAACCAAGGCUGAGGCGUGAUGACGAGGCACUACGGUGCUGAAGCGACAAAUGCCCUGCUUCCAGGAAAAGCCUCUAAGCAUCAGGUAACAUCAAAUCGUACCCCAAACCGACACAGGUGGUCAGGUAGAGAAUACCAAGGCGCUUGAGAGAACUCGGGUGAAGGAACUAGGCAAAAUGGUGCCGUAACUUCGGGAGAAGGCACGCUGAUAUGUAGGUGAAGCGACUUGCUCGUGGAGCUGAAAUCAGUCGAAGAUACCAGCUGGCUGCAACUGUUUAUUAAAAACACAGCACUGUGCAAACACGAAAGUGGACGUAUACGGUGUGACGCCUGCCCGGUGCCGGAAGGUUAAUUGAUGGGGUUAGCGGCAACGCGAAGCUCUUGAUCGAAGCCCCGGUAAACGGCGGCCGUAACUAUAACGGUCCUAAGGUAGCGAAAUUCCUUGUCGGGUAAGUUCCGACCUGCACGAAUGGCGUAAUGAUGGCCAGGCUGUCUCCACCCGAGACUCAGUGAAAUUGAACUCGCUGUGAAGAUGCAGUGUACCCGCGGCAAGACGGAAAGACCCCGUGAACCUUUACUAUAGCUUGACACUGAACAUUGAGCCUUGAUGUGUAGGAUAGGUGGGAGGCUUUGAAGUGUGGACGCCAGUCUGCAUGGAGCCGACCUUGAAAUACCACCCUUUAAUGUUUGAUGUUCUAACGUUGGCCCGUAAUCCGGGUUGCGGACAGUGUCUGGUGGGUAGUUUGACUGGGGCGGUCUCCUCCUAAAGAGUAACGGAGGAGCACGAAGGUUGGCUAAUCCUGGUCGGACAUCAGGAGGUUAGUGCAAUGGCAUAAGCCAGCUUGACUGCGAGCGUGACGGCGCGAGCAGGUGCGAAAGCAGGUCAUAGUGAUCCGGUGGUUCUGAAUGGAAGGGCCAUCGCUCAACGGAUAAAAGGUACUCCGGGGAUAACAGGCUGAUACCGCCCAAGAGUUCAUAUCGACGGCGGUGUUUGGCACCUCGAUGUCGGCUCAUCACAUCCUGGGGCUGAAGUAGGUCCCAAGGGUAUGGCUGUUCGCCAUUUAAAGUGGUACGCGAGCUGGGUUUAGAACGUCGUGAGACAGUUCGGUCCCUAUCUGCCGUGGGCGCUGGAGAACUGAGGGGGGCUGCUCCUAGUACGAGAGGACCGGAGUGGACGCAUCACUGGUGUUCGGGUUGUCAUGCCAAUGGCACUGCCCGGUAGCUAAAUGCGGAAGAGAUAAGUGCUGAAAGCAUCUAAGCACGAAACUUGCCCCGAGAUGAGUUCUCCCUGAGACUUAGAGUCUCCUGAAGGAACGUUGAAGACGACGACGUUGAUAGGCCGGGUGUGUAAGCGCAGCGAUGCGUUGAGCUAACCGGUACUAAUGAACCGUGAGGCUUAACCUU
rnacentral:rRNA from 1 species